ensembl:lncRNA
GUGACCGGAUAUAAAGCAGAUCAGACCCACUGUGAAGCAUUUAUUGCCAGGAGACCACAUCUCCUUGAGCUAAACUGAUUACACCCUCGUGGAGAAAAUCACUUGCAAUAGUCGAACACGAUCCACACACACAAAGAGCCCAGCUUGAGGACCCUCGUCCCAGUGACUUGUGUAUUGAAGCCAUUGGUCACGUUAACUUGUUGUAAAGCCAAUGGAAUUAAUGGCUCUAUCCAUGUCAGAUCAUUGCCUGCUUCGUCACCUUUAAUUAUUUGGUUUGCCCAAUGACCAAAACACUACCAGUAGAGUGACAAAAUUAAGACUCAAGUUAAAACAUUUUUAUUUCAACAGAGCAUGAAUUAAUAGGAACCUGGAAUAUAUUCCAGAGAAGUCCCAGGAGCAAGAGUCAUUCCACACCUGCAAUAAAACACAAGAUCAUCGUUAAGAAAGUGGAACUUCACAAACACAGGUCGCUACAGUCAACUUAACACUGGUACUAGUCAGGAUGUUUCAGGGCUUAGUCAGGUCAUGGUAGAUGGGUGCUACUGAAUCUGUGCCAAAUGCACCACAUGUUCCAAACUUAACAGUUACUAGUCUGGUUGUUUCAGGGCUUAGUCAGGUCAUGGUAGAUGGGUGCUACUGAAUCUGUGCCAAAGCCCCGAGCUUUCUCUCCCAAUGUUUGGAUUCCACAGCCGAGCGAAUACUCAGGCCAUGGCAGUAUACAAAUUGGGUUUUCAAGGAGCAAGAGCUAACUACUGAAACAAUUGGUGCUCAUUUCCCACAUGUACCUGCUUUGGUUGACGUCUUUGGGCCGUUGAUUGGCAUCUUAGCAGAGCAGAUUGGCAGCCUGUUGGAGAUAGAGUGGUGUUAGAGCGGUUGUUUCAGCGCUUAGUCAGGUCCUGGUAGAUGAGUACUACUAAAGCCCUGAGGUUAUUCUCCCAAGCUUGGAUUCCACAGCCAAGCAAAUACUCAAGCCAUGAGAGUACUCACUGGGUUUUAAAUGUAUAGCAUUAUAUAAUAAUAAUACAUUGAAUUUAUUUAGCGCUUUUAUCUAGA